rnacentral:misc_RNA from 1 species
AAUUCUCAAUCCUCCCGUUUGCGGGAGUGGUUGGAUUGUGGAGGUUAUUGCAGGCCCCUUGGGGUCAGCUCCUCUGAAAGUCAUUAGCGGAACCAUUUGCGAUCCAUCACAGGUGUGAUAAUUAUCUAUGCCUAUGGGGUUGCUCAUUGAUUGUUCAGCUCACAAAUCCCCCUUACUGAAC